rnacentral:misc_RNA from 1 species
UCAAAUGAGAAGUUGACAGAACCAAGAAUUGUCAUGGCUUCGAUGUUCGAUAUGUCAUAUUAUUUCUUUCGCCUUUCUAUUGUGUAUUGCUGUGAUUUUUAUGCAUGCUCUAAUUGUCGAAAAAAUUAGAUGUUAACUGUUAAUUCAGAAUACCGUAAAUUGUGAUUUGUACUAAAUUUAUUAUUUAAAGUGCGUUCACUUUUUUCUUGUGACAAUCGGAAGAAUAAAAUUAUGGUGAUCGUGAAUUUGUGAGUACGGUUUUAAAGAAUCGGAAUUAUAUUAAGUAUAUUAUUGUCGUGUAACGUUUCAAGUUCGUCGGUGUAUUGUAUUUAUUAAAAAUGUCCGGGGUUCUUGCCGGUCAUGUUACUAAACGUAGGAGAGGUCGCCGUGUAAAGACUCGUUCAGGGCAGUGAGGUGCAUGCCGUUUUACCAUUGACUAUACCCACGAGCCAGCUAUCUGCAAGUGAAGAUUGACUUUGGGAUGAAAUGUGUUAAGAAUGAUGGCAAUAAUGCAGGACAGGAAUAGUGAGGAAGUACCGAAGGAGUUUCUCGAGACGGGACGCACGGGCCGCAGGAACGCCAUGCCUGACAUCCUCCACCCGCAGGGUGCCGAGGUGACCACAGCUGACCUGCCGUCGCGGCUGCAGCAGCUGGUCACCUCUG